rnacentral:lncRNA from 1 species
AGAAAUACAUGGUAGUAGAAGCCAUUUUUCUUCUCUUGUCUUACGACAAAUUCUUAGUGCCGCUUUGCGUGCCUUUACAGGUAAUUGUUGAUUUCAUUCAUUGUAUUAUUCAUUUGUCUUUCAUUUCAUAUCAUAUUUGUAUUGCAUUCGCUUGGAAAUAUGGAAUUAUGCACUUCAGUAAAUAGAAAUACCUGGUAGUAGAAGCCAUUUUUCUUCUCUUGUCUUAUGACAAAUUUCCUAGUGCCCCUUUGCGUGCCUUUACAGGCAGAUGACCCACAAGUACUCUCCAACCCAGGACGUAAGAACCCAGACUACGACAGGGGCACCAACAAGAUAUAGAUGAUUUAUCGUCUUGUCGUGUCAUCGUGCUGGCGAAGUCACCAACAAAUCAUAAAUGAUUUCUCUUGCUAUCGUGCAGGGGCACCAACAAAACAGCACAACAUGGCAAAAACGAGUUACCAUAGUGUAUCAAAUUAUAUGAAACUAAUAAAAAAUGAGUAUAUUGUAAUUGUUUACGUUGUAAAAUAGACGGAAAUAUAAAACUGUUGUGAAUGGUUGUACCAUGCAAUGCGUUAAACGGCAUGUUUCCUAGAAUUGUAAAAUAAACAAUUAACAAGUGUUAUACUAUAUAAGGCUUACCGAAUAACGUAUUGUUAACAGUAAGGCAGCAAACUUGGCUUACGCAAAAUUGCUAAAUUACAUUUUCUUCGUGUUUAGAUACUUGUUCGAUAAGGGUGCAAGAUAUGGACGAGACCAGAAAUACUGUGACCGUGUAUUUUACCGAAAUAUCUUAUCACGCUGCAAGACGGACACAAGCAUAAAGAACACUAGUUUUUGCCGUAAUGUUGCGUUGGACUAUUAUCUCGCCGUUCGUCUAGGCGACAGGUCACACUACGAAGACCCAUCGCUAUACUGGUGUCGAGAGAGAUGGGUCCGAAGCUGCUUAUAAGGACAUUUUCUGAAGAUAACAUAAACUAUAUCCUAAAUUUUGUUUCAUGUGUACGACUUUUCUGUAAUUAAUUCAAACUAAAUGAUCACAGAUUCGAUUAAUGUUUUUUUUUUUUAAAUAAUUACUAAGUUCAAACAAUCAGUACAAAUUCUCAGACACUAAUUACGAACAAAUAUACAAGUUAAGCCAAAAUUGUGUUAAAGUUUAUUUCUAUGACCUUCCUAGCACUUUAUACAGAUAACAAAAAAAUGUGUCUUAUGUACUUGCCUUCUAACUUUGUUAUUUAAUCCCAAGGAGUUCCUUCUUUUACAUCAAAGACCUGCGAUAAUUGUAUCUAGUAAUAAAAUCUUAUAUUAGACAUUCAC